rnacentral:rRNA from 1 species
AGUGAACGCUGGCGGUAGGCUUAACACAUGCAAGUCGAACGGCAGCACAGUAAGAGCUUGCUCUUACGGGUGGCGAGUGGCGGAUGGGUGAGGAAUACAUCCGAAUCUACUUUUUCGUGGGGGAUAACGUAGGGAAACUUACGCCCAUACCGCAUACGACCUACGGGUGAAAGCAGGGGAUCUUCGGACCUUGCGCGAUUGAAUGAGCCGAUGUCGGAGUAGCUAGUUGGCGGGGUAACUGCCCACCAAGGCGACGAUCGGUAGCUGGUCUGAGAGGAUGGUCAGCCACACUGGAGCUGAGACGCGGCACAGAGUCCUACGGGAGGCAGAGGUGGGUAAUAGUGGAAAAUGGGCGGAAGCUUGCUCCAUCCACACAGGGUGGGUGAAGAAGGCCCGCGGGUUGUAAAGCCGUUUUGUGGGGAAAGAACAGUAGCAGGUUAAUCCCCGGCUGUGCGGAGGGAACGGAAAGAGUAAGAACGGGCUAACUUGGU